rnacentral:rRNA from 1 species
UGCCGUGGCGAGAAUCUGGGUCACCUCCCACCCGUGUCUAUCGUACCUUGUUGCUUCGGCGGGCCCGCCGUUUCGACGGCCGCCGGGGAGGCCUUGCGCCCCCGGGCCCGCGCCCGCCGAAGACCCCAACAUGAACGCUGUUCUGAAAGUAUGCAGUCUGAGUUGAUUAUCGUAAUCAGUUAAAACUUUCAACAACGGAUCUCUUGGUUCCGGCAUCGAUGAAGAACGCAGCGAAAUGCGAUAAGUAAUGUGAAUUGCAGAAUUCAGUGAAUCAUCGAGUCUUUGAACGCACAUUGCGCCCCCUGGUAUUCCGGGGGGCAUGCCUGUCCGAGCGUCAUUGCUGCCCUCAAGCACGGCUUGUGUGUUGGGCCCCCGUCCCCCUCUCCCGGGGGACGGGCCCGAAAGGCAGCGGCGGCACCGCGUCCGGUCCUCGAGCGUAUGGGGCUUUGUCACCUGCUCUGUAGGCCCGGCCGGCGCCAGCCGACACCCAACUUUAUUUUUCUAAGGUUGACCUCGGAUCAGGUAGGGAUACCCGCUGAACUUAAGCAUAUCAUAAAGCGGAGGAAUUCCGAGUGAG